UGCUUGCUGGAUGAGUUUGAAAUGGUACCCAUAGAAUUAGCAAACCACAAAUGGGUAUUAGCAGGGCGUUUUCUGACCUGGAUUCCCCAGCAAACCAGUUGUCAAUUUCAAUAACUUUUACUGCCUUGUCUCACCUGUGCCUGGAUUGACCUACAAGAGCCACCCAUGGGGUUCAGGAAAGAAAAGGGCCAGAUAAGGGCAAUCCAGGGUUAGCCCUACACUGAGAAGAGUUCUUUUGGGGAGAGAAUUAUGAGGAUGAGCUGAGCCAGUGAGCUUGUCAUUCUUUUAGUGAAGUAGAAAUUUUGGAGACCUCUUUCCUCUAACUGUACAUGACAUUGUAACUGCAUGGCUCUCUCAAAGCUUUCUCAGGCUGGUUGUUUGACAAACCACAACUGAGACUAAAAAGUGUAAGAGAUUUUCUCCAUCCUGAAACAUUGCUGAGAAUUCACCACUGAUGGCCUGUGGUAAGGAAGCAAAGCUUUAAAGAUCUGGAUCCUGGCAUCAGAGAGUCAGCACUUAAAACUUUUGCUGGUACAGCAAUGUCAGGUAAAACUCCAAUUGCCACCAGCGGGAGCAUUGCAUCUGUAAAGAAUGAGGAACUGGGACUUUCACCUGUCUCGUGUGACUGUCGAGAUAACAGUGAAACAGAAAGCUGCUAACUAUAAUGAUGAGAUUGUUAUUUUUAACUGGGGAAGAAGGCUGAUCUGGUGGUUAAGUCACAGGAAUGGGAGUCAAGAGACCUGGCAGAGUGAAAUCAAAAUCAGAGUAGUAUUCGCAGCUCUGCCUCUGACCUGUGGGACCUUGAGCAAGUCACUUCCCCUCUGUCUCUCUCUUUCUCCUGCCACCCAAUAUCCGACUUAUCUACAGGACUGCCUCUCCCUGUGUGUAUGCACAGUGCAUAGUACAAUGGGACCCUGAUGUCAGGAUUGUGGCCUCUGUAAUACAAGUAAUAAGUGUCCUAUAGGCCUGCUCUAAGCAGGGUUAGAUAACAUGGUGCUUGGGAUAAAAGUGGCUUCCUGGAUCCCUGCCUGCUGUAGACUCCCCUCUGUUGCUACCCCUAAUAGAGCUAAACUAACAUUAAUGGCAAUAGUGAUUUUGUGGCCAAAAAAGUCCAGGUUUGACAUCCCUGUGCCUGGUUCCCCACCUGUGAAAGAGACACAAUCAUCUGGACCUCCCCAAGAGGUCUGGUAACAACAUACGAUGAUGCCUGAGAAGGACUUUAUGGUCCUUGGAUAGAAGGAGCAACAUAGCUGCAAAGGGUCAUUGAUAUUUUCUUUCAUUUUAGUACAUUUCAGAUACUUAUCAACCAUGUUAUGAAUUAUUGCCCUUUGUAAUGAGAUGUGAUUAGGAUCUUUUAAAUAUGACAGAGUCAUCUGCUUUUCCUUUAAGUCUCAAGUUUUUAUUCCUUAUGUGGUCAUGUGGUAACAUAUCGAGCUACUGUUGGACUUGCGAGAAAUGUUGUAUUAUUUUGCUUUGGAAUAGAAUCCCUGACUUCUAAACGCUCAUUCUAAUCCUUCUAAAACAGUAUCUGAUCCGGUUAUUAAAAGUAACUUCUAAGAACCAAACAAUUAAGUAUGAAAUGGGUUGAUUUUGCCACUACACCUGCUGAGUAGUAGCUCAUUCUGUGAGCAGGCCUGUGGAACCCAAGGGUAGAAUUGGCGUGGAAUGGUACUGUUCAUGGAACAGGGGACUAAUUAAGGUACAAAGUGCAUUUGGGGCAGGGCUGGCCCUUCUGUGAUUGGCUGUCACAGUGUUGCCAAGUCUCAUGGUAUUUGCUGUUUUCUCUUAAAGCAUCAACUCCUGGGGUCACGUGAUUCGGUGAGAAUCUCGACUUUAAAAAAGGAAGUUACUAGCA